CUUGACGAACAAGGCCGCUGCGCGGAGAAACGAGUUGAGCGCGGUACUACCAGGGACGUGGUGGGGAUCGAACCCGGAACCACUCGUUUAUGAAGCGAACGCUCUACCACUACACCACUACCGCAUAAAUCUAGAUGCAUCUUGGGUUUAUCAAAUGUACAAUUGCAUAUAAACAAUUAGACCAACACAAUUAGAUACAAUAGAACAAAAGGUUGAUAGGCUUUUUUAUAUACCUAAUUAUUCUAUUUGUAAAAUUAUAACCUUAGAAAAUAAUAAUAACAACAACAAUAAUAAUAACAAUAUGUUAUAUCAAAAUCUUAUAAUUAAACACCAAAUAAUUAAAAUUAGUUAAACGCCGAAUAAGUUUUAUGUUUAUUUUUUUAGUGUUGUAUAUUAAAAACACUUAUUUUCAGUGUUCCAUAACUGAGAAAAAUAUUCUUUGCCUGGCUAACUCAUUCAAUUGAGCAUGAGAUCUUAAUCUCAUGCUAAUUAAAAUCUCGUAAUCUCGGGGUAAAUAUUUACUUAGACCCUCAAGUUGUUUAUCUUCCUUAAUAUCAUAUUUAAAUAAGAAAAUGUUAUCAUAGAAACCUUUCCAAACCGCGCAAACUUUAAAAUUCACUUUUUUUUACUAACCAAUAAUUAAACUCUACUUGUAAUAAAAAGCGAUUACAUUAAAAAUUAAGAAAUGAAACUCAAUAAUUUUUAGACUAAUAUUUUCAGUUAAAAAAGAAAAAUAAUCUGAAAAAAAAAGUUAAUCUGAAGUUUUUUUAUAUCAUAAAUUUAUUUGUGAUUAUUUUUUAGCUGAUGUACCAUUAAACCGAAGGUGGUAUUAAAGUUUACAAAAUUUGCUCUGGCUGAAUUUUUUGAUGAAAAAACAAUAUGUGUGCCAUGAAUGUAAUCUUUUUUUUCAUGGCGGAUCAAUGAAAGUUUGGUGUAUUGGCCAAAUCACUUGCAAGCAUCUUGCCUUCAGGCUGCCAUACAUAAAGUCACGCUUUUAAAAGUAACUGAAAGCAGCUGAAAAUAAGAAUUUUUUGAUGAACUUUCUUACUUCGGUUGGAGAUGAAAAACAACUUACAGCGACAAUCUUAAUACAGUAAAUGGCCAAAGAAGUAUGUUUUUCAUACUUAGUGUAUGGAAGGAAACAAAAACGUCCUGCAAGGUCGUUAUAGAAUUGCGUUUAGUCAUUUAUCGUUGUAUUCGUUCAUUUCGAAAUCGCUACAAAAGUAUUAAAGAAAAAAUUGGCAGCUAUAUAUAUAUAUAUAUAUAUAU